AUGGAUUGUGAGAUGGUACAGAUACAUUCGGAGCAAUGUAGAGAUAUUCCAGCUGCUCCAGCCAAUGAGCUGGCUUCAAUUGGAGCUCUGCUCAGAUGCAUCUAUACAAAUGCCCGUAGUAUGGGGAACAAACAAGAGGAAUUAGAGAUGUGUGCAUGUCUAUGGGGAUAUGAUAUCAUAGGCAUCACAGAAACAUGGUGGGAUGGCUCCUAUGACUGGAGUGUUGGAAUGGAAGGUUACCGGCUCUUUAGGAAAGACAGGCCUGGCAGAUGGGGAGGGGGAGUUGCUAUUUAUGUUAGGGAUAGGCUGGAGAGUAUGGAACGCUGUCUGGGGACAGGUGAACAGCCAAUAGAGAGUUUGUGGGUCAGGGUUAAAGGGAGAACAGUGAUGGGUGACAUUAUUGUAGGGAUCUGUUACAGACUGCCUGACCAAGAGGACUCGAUGGAUGAAGUGCUCUAUAGACAGAUAGGAAUAGCCUCACGCUCGCGGGCUCUUGUUUUCAUGGGAGACUUCAACCACCCUGAUAUCUGUUGGAGGGAUGGUAUGGCCCGGCACAAGCAAUCCAGGAAGUUCCUCAAUUGUGUAGAAGACAACUUCCUUCUCCAAGUAAUAGAGGAGCCGACAAGGAGAGGUGCCAUGCUUGACCUUGUCCUCACCAACAGGGAAGGGCUGGUUGGAAAUGUGAUGCUCCAGGGCAGCCUUGAUUGCAGCGAUCAUGAGAUGGUCAAAUUAGAGAUCCUCAGGACAGUGAGAAGAGCGUGCAGCAAGCUCACUGCCCUGGACUUCAAGAGAGCACACUUUGGCCUCUUCAGGAACGUGCUUAGUAAGGUUCCAUGGGAUAUAGCCCUAGAGGGCAGGGGGGCCCAAGACUGUUGGUUGAUAUUGAAGGAUCACCUGCUGCAGGCUCAGGAGUGUUGCAUCCCAACUAGAAGGAAGUUCAGCAGGAGGGCCAGGAGACCUCCUUGGAUGGAUAAGGAGCUGUUGAGGAAACUUCAAAGGAAAAAAGAGGCUUAUAAAAGGUGGAAGCAAGGACAGGCUGCUUGGGAAGAACACAGGGAUGUUGUCCAGGAAACUAGGGACCAGGUUAGGAAAGCUAAGGCCCACUUAGAAUUAAACUUGGCUAGGGAUGUUAAGGGUAACAGGAAGGGAUUCUAUAGGUACAUUGCAAAUAAAAGGCAGGCUAGAGACAAUGUGGGCCCUCUCCAGAAGCUACUGGGAGAACUGGCUACCCUGGAUUUGGAGAAGGCUGAGGUUCUUAAUGAGUUCUUUGCCUCAGUCUUCACUGGAAAAUGCUCUGAUCACACCACCCAAGUCUUGGAAGGCAGACACAGGGACAGUGAGAAUGAAGACCCUGGGCCCACUGUAGGAGAGGAUCUGGUUCGAGACCCUCUUAGGAACCUGAAUGUAUACAAGUCCAUGGGACCGGAUGAAAUCCAUCCGCGGGUCCUGAAGGAGCUGGCAAAUGAAGUUGCUAAGCCACUGUCCAUCAUAUUUGAAAAAUCAUGGCAGUCAGGUGAAGUUCCUGAUGACUGGAAAAAGGGAAAUAUAACCCCCAUUUUCAAGAAGGGGAUAAUGGAUGAGCUGGGGAACUACAGACCAGUCAGUCUCACCUCUGUGCCUGGCAAAAUCUUGGAGCGGAUUAUCCUGGAAGGCAUGCUAAGGCACAUGAAAACCAACAAGGUGCUUGGUGACAGCCAGCAUGGCUUCACUAAGGGGAAAUCCUGCCUGACAAAUCUGGUGGCCUUCUAUGAUGGGGCUACGGAACUGAUGGACAGGGGUAGAGCAGUUGAUGUCAUCUACCUGGACUUAUGUAAAGCCUUUGACACUGUCUCACAUGACAUCCUUCUCUCUAAGUUGGAGAGACAUCAAUUUGAUAGGUGGACCACUCGGUGGAUAAAGAACUGGCUGGAUGACCGCACGCAAAGAGUAGUGCUCAAUGUCCAGCUGGAGACCAGUAAUGAGUGGUGUCCCCCAGGGAUCGGUGUUGGGACCGGUCUUGUUCAACAUCUUUGUCGGUGA
ensembl:lncRNA